GACGAACGCUGGCGGCGUGCCUAAUACAUGCAAGUAGGACGCAGUUGCGAACGGGUGAGUAACGCGUAGGUAACUACCUAUUAGAGGGGGAUAACUAUUGGAAACGAUAGCUAAUACCGCAUACUAGUAGAUGGACCUGCGUUGUAUUAGCUAGUAGGUAGGGUAAUGGCCUACCUAGGCAACGAUACAUAGCCGAGCUGGAAAGGGGGUCGGCCAAAAUGGGACUGGGACACGGGCCAGACUCCUACGGGAGGCAACAGUAGGGAAACUUCGGCAAUGGGGGGAAACCUGACCGAGCAAAGCCGCGUGAGUGAAGAAGGGUUUCGGAUCGUAAAGCUCUGUUGUUAAGGAAGCGGUACUUAACCAGAAAGGGACGGCUAACUACGUGCCAGCAGCCGCGGUAAUUC
rnacentral:rRNA from 1 species